CCCACAUGUAGUGGAAUACAAAUGUGCCGAGAUAAGGAUCUUUUCUGAAUCUCGCAAUUUUGGUGGCAUACCAUGCACGUUUGUUGCUAUGGAUGCUUUUACCUCUGUUUUAGAAGGCAACCCAGCUAAGAGAUAGAGUUUCAGAGACAUAAAGUGUGUGAAAUGAAUAACCUGCCAUGUGUAUGCACAUGUACCGGAUCUGCUUGAUGAAAGUCAAAUGCCUUACUAUAAAUUCAUCACCCAUAUGAUUAAACAUCAGGAAAUUUAUCUCAACAUGUGGAGUAAUGCUGUUGGUUUCUGUGAAUUC